CUACCAGACUGUCACUGUCUAACAGUUACCACCACCCUACCUGUAAUUCCAUCUAUUUCUCUGUACAUGUAAGCCCUGCCAUCACAUAACACACACUCAGAGCUAAUCAGACAAUGUUUGCUGGAGUUUGUCCAAAUCAUACAUGUCCAUUUUUGCUUUUAGCCAGAAUAGCAAAAUGUACUUCACACCAUUUCCUUAUUUAUUCCAGUAUAUUCACUGCUCAUGUAACC